GUUUUGAUGUCCAACUGUGCGCUAACUUAGACCCCACAAAGGGUGCUAUUCGAUUAAGACAGUGGUAUGAUGGUCAUGAAAAUUGAAAUCCGCUAAGGAGUGUGUAACAACUCACUUGUGAUAACACUAGUAUCAAUUAAGAGAAGAAUUAGAACAAUAA
rfam:Lupinus angustifolius cultivar Tanjil chromosome LG14, whole genome shotgun sequence.